rnacentral:rRNA from 1 species
CACUUCUAAGGAAGGCAGCAGGCGCGCAAAUUACCCAAUCCUGACUCAGGGAGGUAGUGACAAGAAAUAACAAUAAACCGGCUUAUGCCGGUUUAAUUGGAAUGAGUACAAUUUAAACAUCUUAACGAGGAACAAUUGGAGGGCAAGUCUGGUGCCAGCAGCCGCGGUAAUUCCAGCUCCAAUAGCGUAUACUAAAGUUGUUGCAGUUAAAAAGCUCGUAGUUGGAUUUCUGUGGGGACGGAGCGGCCGGCCGCACAUCGCGGUUCGAGCUAGCGCUUUCCCUACAUCCUGCCGCGAACCGUGCUACCAUUAAUUUGGUGGCGCCGGGGAUCGGCUCGAUUACUUUGAGAAAAAUAGAGUGUUCAAAGCAGGCCACAUGCCUUGAAUAAGUUAGCAUGGAAUAAUAACUAAGGACUUCGGUUCUAUUUUGUUGGUGUUCGGGACUGAAGUAAUGAUUGAUAGGGACAGUUGGGGCGGUCUGUAUUCCAAAGCGAGAGGUGAAAUUCUUAGACCUUCGGAAGACAAACAGCUGCGAAAGCGUUCCGCAAGGAUGUUCCCUUUGAUCAAGAACGAAAGUUGGGGGAUCGAAGACGAUCAGAUACCGUCGUAGUCUCAACUAUAAACUAUACCAGCUAGGGAUCGGCCAACGUUAUUUUAUACCGACUUGGUCGGCACCUUAUGAGAAAUCAAAGCAUCUGGGUUCCGGGGGGAGUAUGGUCGCAAGGCUGAAACUUAAAGGAACUGACGGAAGGGCACCACCAGCCGUGGAGCCUGUGGCUUAAUUUGACUCAACACGGGAAAACUUACCAGGUCCAGACAUAGUAAGGAUUGACAGAUUGAUAGCUCUUUCUUGAUUCUGUGGGUGGUGGUGCAUGGCCGUUCUUAGUUGGUGGAGUGAUUUGUCUGGUUAAUUCCGUUAACGAACGAGACCCCAGCCUGCUAAAUAGCGCGCAUGAGCUUUGCUCGUGGCGAGCUUCUUAGGGGGACUAUGAUGCGCGAUAGCACAUGGAAGUUUGGGGCAAUAACAGGUCUGUGAUGCCCUUAGAUGUUCUGGGCCGCACACGGGCUACACUGGCGCCUGCAACGAGCAUAUCAGCUGGCCCGAGAGGGUCUUGGCUAAUCUUUUGAACCGGCGCCGUGCUUGGGAUUGACCUUUGCAAUUGUUGGUCAUGCAACGAGGAAUGCCUUGUAAACGCGAGUCAUCAGCUCGCAUUGAAUACGUCCCCGCCCUUUGUACACACCGCCCGUCGCUCCUACCGAUGAAUGUUCCGAUGAAAUUUUCGGAGAGCACCUGUGAACUUGGCUCUGCCUUGCGAACGGGAGGCUCAAAGUCACUUAAAUCUGAACAUU